rnacentral:lncRNA from 1 species
AAAAAAAAAAACUAUGAACAAGAAGUAUUAACUACGGGAUCAGUACCAUUGGAGUUUCCAGUGAUGUUUGAGCACUAGGGAAAGCAUGAAAACUAACAUGUACCCUGGUAAAUGGUAAUAGCAUGGAAGAACAGUCAUGGCAGAGUUUAGCACUGCCAACAGAUGGCAAAAAUGCCUGCAAGGACUUUUAUCUAAAAGGUGCUACUUUUCUAAAGUGGGUUCAGUGAGGGCACUCCGUAGCUAAACCAGUUAGCAGCACUUUCAGAAGAAGGCAGGAGUCAAAAGGAGUUCUGCUCACUUGCCUACAAAAAAAUAAAUAAAACAAAAUGGCACGUUAGCUAGUGCCCAGUGUGCCUAGCAGGUAAUAUAGCUCUGUAAGCAGCUGUUCUGAUGCAGGUGAAUAUUCUACACUUCAUUUACAUUCAAAGCUUCUUGUAAGAAAGAGUAAUGCAGUGAUAUUGUUGUAAAAUUUGUCAGCAUCAAGCAGAUAAAAAAUAAAAAUAAUUGUAUUAAAGAAUGGUUAGGUUUAGAACAGAGAUGGCAGUCACAAAGGCUUUAGUCAACCAGUUUUGGCCUUAAAAACGCAAUGCAUGCAAUAGCGUAUAAUUAUACAUACAAGGUGGUUACUUUAUUUUCAUCGUCUUCUUUACAAACAUCAGUGUGAAUUCUAAUUAUCUGGCUUAACAAAUUUAUGGUUUAAGUAAAGUUUCUCCAGAAGAGGGCACAGUUUACAUAACGAAGCCACCACCUAAGGUUGCCAACACUGGUUACUCUAGUCCCUAACAAGUGAUAAAUUUGACAUUGUUUAAAAUGAGAGUAAUAUCCUUUUUCCAUUAAAAUGUACAUGCUCUAUUUGCCUUCAAAGGGAAUCCGCGGUGGGGUAAUGUCUUGGUUUGUACUCUGGUGCCUACUAACUGAAUUUGCAAUGCAUUGUGAUUGUUUUCAGAUUUGCAAAUGCUAAAAAAAAAAAAAAAAAUAUUGCUUUCAACCUAAAUAUUUGUUACCAAUCUGCAUCUAUGGGUGUGUGAUCCGUUUCAAAUCAGCCUUAAAUGUUGUCAACUAGUAUUCAAUUCACUGUUAAAAUUUUAAUAUUACUUGUAAGUUCUGCAAUUUCAAGCCGGUUUCUCUGUAAAACAUAGGGAAACCCUUAAAUCCUAUCUUGCUGUUCAUAACAUUAAAAAAAAAAAAAACUAUAUCCCUAGAGAUACCAUGAAGACUCUCAAUCUUCAUAUAUAACUCUACUAAUAGAUAUAAAAACAUUCUCUGCUCUAAAAACGUUGCAAUGUGCUAUUCUGGGGGUUUGAUAGGAGGCAAUGCCAUUAUUAACCCCUUAAGGACACAUGGCAUGUGUGACAUGUCAUGAUUCCCUUUUAUUCCAGAAGUUUGGUCUUUAAGGGGUUAAAGAUGGCUCUGGAAACAUUACCAUUGGUGCAUUCAUCUAAAGAAGGGGAAGAUUUAAAAACAAACCAAGACAAGCACAUAGUGGGAAAAAAGAUUUGCCUAUACUAUCAGAAUCUGCUCCCAACACAGCUUUAAUCAUUUCGCAAAUUGGAAGGCAUGGCCUGAAGUUGUGGGAGGGGCUAUAGACCUAUAAAAAGGGACUCCCCCUCCCCCCCUUUCCCAACUUAACUUUUGUUGAUCAGACGAACAGACUGUUCGAGGUCAGCAUUUGCAUGAGAUUCAUUUCCAGGUCAUACAAGACGCCAUUUUGGUUUCACCUUUGCUCGAUGAGGUCUCCUACUCCAAGCUGUGUCCAGGAAUCCUGCAGCAGGGCUUUCCGUUAAUCCAGUGGCUUUCUCUCCAGUCAGCAUCGCAUUUGGUGUCUCAGGGACUCUCAAACCGUAAGUUGACCCACCUGUCACACCAGGAUUAGUUCCCACGGCGUUCAGCACAGCACGGGUCCUCACUUUACGGUUCCCUUUCGUUUUGCACGGUUAUUUCGUUACCUUAUACUCACCUAGCUGUUCAUGUAAAAUCUGUUUAAAAUCUGUUUUGGUUAAAAUCUGUUCGGUUAAAACUACAAACAAAAUAAAAAAUUUCGCCUACACACUGACCCCUACCGUUUUUUGGGUGUACUACAGGCUGCUUAGACAUUAUCACAUUUCAUGUACAAACCAACGAACCACUGCAUUUUCACCUAGACACUGACCCCUGUCAUUCGGUGUACUACAGGCUUCUCAGACAUUAUUGCAUUUCAUGUACAAACCAAAAAACCACUGCAUGUUCACCUAGACACUGACCCCUACCGGUCAUUCGGUGUACUACAGGCUUCUCAGAUAUUACUGCAUUUCAUGUACAAACCAACUAACCACUGCAUUUUCACCUAGACACUGACCCCUGUCAUUCGGUGUACUACAGGCUUCUCAGACAUUAUUGCAUUUCAUGUACAAACCAAAAAACCACUGCAUGUUCACCUAGACACUGACCCCUACCGGUCAUUCGGUGUACUACAGGCUUCUCAGAUAUUACUGCAUUUCAUGUACAAACCAACUAACCACUGCAUUUUCACCUAGAC